CUAUAUCUGUGAAAGAAAACAUAUUGCAUCGUCAAGCAUUUGAACAUAUUUUUGUCUAGAUACGGAUUUUCAGGCUUGGGAAUACUUUGGUAUAAUAAUGAUAAUGUAGUUAAAAUUCUAUUAUCAAUAAUAAUAAUAAUCAUAAUCAUUGUCGUUUCCCGCCAUACCCGGUAGAGUAUGUCCCCAGAAGUCUACAGAAGACUUGUGCGGGGCAAGGGAAGGGAUGGAUUAGUGACCAUCAUCAUGCGACUGCAACCGUCUGAAGAUGUUCAAUAGAGACACCCGCAUUUGCACAUGGGACAAGGAAAACUGUAGAAAACCUUUCCUAGGUGUAGCUGAACCGAGUUUGAACCAACUACUUGAAGGGCUGCAGACUGUGGAGUGGUAACUAUUAUAACUCCAGACAAUGGAAGAUUCUGGAUUAAUGAUAAAUGAGUAUCGCCUGUCCCAGGAGGAGUAUCUACUAUAAGGUAGUCCAGUGGCAUCCAGGCUGUCUGACGGAUUAAUUUGUCAAGAGCACUCAUCACCAUCAGACCUCGCCAUAUAACGGGAGAUUU